GGAAGCGUGCCCGAAAGUUUAGGAUCCUCUUUGAUAGAGAGGCACAUAGGAGUUCAAAUCCCCUCACUUCCU
rnacentral:tRNA from 1 species